rnacentral:lncRNA from 1 species
GUGAGGUCACUCUGUAUCUUGCAAGUGAAUCAGCUUCCUUUGAGUUAACAGAGCAAGUUGCUUCAGAGGAAUACUCUGCCUUGUGAAGAUUAUACAACAAAGAUUUCUCUCACUUCUCCAAAUUCACAUGUUACUAAUGACAAAGAAAAAAAGAGGAAGAGAUGCAUUUCAUCCAUUAAUAAAGUAUACAUAUAUACCAAUGAGCACUUGUCUACAGAUCUUAUUGUAGCUACCUUUGUGCAUUGCAGAACUCCUUUCAGCUUGCUUUCUUCACAUGGGCAUGGGUGGGUAUAUCAUGAUCAAU